GGGCCCGCACAAGCGGUGGAGUAUGUGGUUUAAUUCGAUGCAACGCGAAGAACCUUACCAGGGUUUGACAUCCUGCGAAUCUCUUGGAAACAGGAGAGUGCCUUCGGGAACGCAGUGACAGGUGGUGCAUGGCUGUCGUCAGCUCGUGUCGUGAGAUGUUGGGUUAAGUCCCGCAACGAGCGCAACCCACGUCUUUAGUUGCCAGCAUUUAGUUGGGCACUCUAGAGAGACUGCCGGUGACAAACCGGAGGAAGUGGGGACGACGUCAAGUCAUCAUGGCCCUUACGAGUAGGGCUACACACGUGCUACAAUGGGACGUACAGAGGGUCGCGAACCCCGCGAGGGGAGCUAAUCUCAUAAAACGUCUCGU
rnacentral:rRNA from 1 species